GCUGUGCUCCCGCUUCCGAUCGGGGAGGCGCGAGCGGGAUGAGCCGUGUGGGGACUGGAGUCGUGAGUGACUGCGGGGUCCAGGGCACCGGCGGCAGCAGUGCCAUCAGCAAGUGCUCAGCGGCAGCACGGGGCUACAUCCAGGACCGGUUCCUGCGGCUCUUGGCAGGGCGGCAGCGCCGGCGGGCGCCGCUUAUCCACCGGGGUUAUUACGUCCGUGCCCGUGCUGUAGAUCACUGUGUCCAGGACUUCCUGCUGAAGACACAAAGCCACCCUAGGACACAGGUCCUGUCUUUGGGUGCUGGCUUUGACUCCUUAUACUUCCGUUUGAAGGACGUGGGUCUUCUGCAUCACACUGUGGUAUAUGAGGUGGAUUUUCCAAACGUGAUGUGCCAAAAAGCUACUCUGAUCAAAAGAAUGGAAGAGUUGUCAGCACUGGUGGGAGACACUGCAGGGGAAGGAUUAGGAGCCAUUACCUUUUCUGGAGAGGAUUAUAAAUUACUGGGAGUGGAUUUGUCAGAGCUGUCUGAGCUGGGGAGAGCCCUGGAGGAAGCAGGACUGGACAAUGAAAUCCCCACCCUCUUCAUUGCAGAGGUGGUGCUCACCUACAUGGAGAACAGCAGGUCAGAUGCCUUGAUUCAGUGGGCAGCAGAGCGUUUCCCUCGGGCCUGCUUCCUGCUGUACGAGCAGGUGCACCCAGAGGACCCCUUUGGCCGUGUCAUGCAGCAGCAUUUCAGCCAACUGAACUCUGCACUUCGCUCUCUGGCACAGUACCCUGACUGUGAGGCACAGCAGAGGCGCUUUUUGGGGAGGGGCUGGACUGAGUGCAGUGUCAUGGAUAUGAAUGAGUUUUUCACCUGUUGUAUUCCAGAAGACGAACAGCAAAGAGUGCAGGUUCUGGAGCCUUUUGAUGAGUAUGAGGAAUGGCAUCUGAAAUGUUCUCAUUACUUUGUGUUGACUGCAUCAAAGGGGAUGGAACCUUCCUGGACUCCCUUGUUACCCAGUGUGACAGUUCCUCAUCGUGCUGCUCCUGUUGGAAUGGCUGGGAGUGUCCCUGCAGCAGUGUGUGCAAGGCUCUCAGGAAUUCCUGGCCUGAGACGUUACGGUCACCGCUCUGUUCUUAUAAAACCCGAUGUGAUUCUCACCACUGGAGGCUUUGGGGAGGAGGAUGGACAACACUGUCGCCUGAGAAAUUUCCAUGUGCUCAGUAAGCAUGCAGGCUGCUGGAAAGCUGGCUGUGUGACAAAGAAACAUCCUGAUAAAAGAUGGGGUGAGCGGUUGUACCACACUGUGUCCUGUCUCUCAGACAGUCUGGCCCUGGUGGUAGGAGGACGAAUGUCCCCAUCAAAUGCAGGUUUGGGAAUGUUGUGGCUAAAGUUCCCCGAAACCUAUAAUGCUUCAGACCCAGAUGACAUUGCAGUGGAGCUUGUAAAUCUGCAGCCUGCUGCUGAACCAGCAACUUUGCGUUGGAGACACAGCACAACUGAAGUGACAUUCAAAGGUGAACAGUACCUGUUUGUGUAUGGGGGCCGCUCUGCUCUGGAGCCUGUGCUUGGGGAUUGGUAUUUCCUGCACACUCAAGAACUCUCCAACACUGUGAUUGCUGUUGACGGUCCAGUCCCAGAAAGCCGCCACUCUCACAGUGCCUGCAGCUGGGAAGGAGGAGCGCUCAUCGCAGGAGGUCUGGGAGCAGCUGAGCAGCCCUUGGGUUCAGUUUUCCUUCUGAGGAAGCUUGAACAUGGCUUUCAGUGGCAGGCAGUAGAGACAUACCCUCCUCUCAUCCCAAGGUAUUCACAUACUGCACAUGUGCACGAAGGAAAGCUUCUGCUCGUUGGCGGAGUGUGGUUUCACGCAUCCUCCGUGCCAGGCAUCACUGUCAUUGACUUAGUGACUGGCCUCUGCUUGGACUAUGUGAUUAAUGUGGUGGGGUUAAAGCACAAAACCCUUCUUCAGCUCCAUUGCCCUUCUCCAGACAUACUCCAGCACCUCAAUGUCUUUAUUGUCGUGUGGGGCCCAAAACUGACCCCAAGAUUUGAGGUCCGACCUCACCGUGCCCGGCCCAGGGGGAUGAUCACUGCCCUCGUGUCACGGAGGCUCCUGAAAUUGAAAUAAACCACCUAUUCAAAAGAGAUUUAUUUGAUGAACCAGUUAAAAACCCAGCAGUUACAGAUCCAACAACAGCUGAAAAGAGAUUCGUGAUGUCAAAUGGAAUUGUUACGACCCAACUGACCUUAGGAAUCCCAACGGUUUGAGCAGGACAACCUGGAAUGCACAGUCACGUGCCUGAGGCAGCGAGGGCUCUCCCUGGGGCUCCUGGGAACUCCCAGUGUCACAAAGGGGGCCCUGCCUGUCCUGUGAUGUCACAAAGGGGGCUCUUCCUGCCCCAUGAUGUCAUAAAAGGGGCCCUGCCUGUCCUGUGAUGUCACAAAGGGGGCUCUGCCUGCCCCAUGAUGUCACAAAGGGCUAUAACAGGCCCCAGGACACGGGGCACUGCAGGUGGGCACCACCUCAGCCUCUGCCACCCCAGCAGUGUUGGGAUCCCAUCACUGGGACCCCGCAGGUCACUGGGGAAGCUCAUCCCCAGCCUGUGCUGGUGACCUGGAGUGGCAGGGAUGGUGCCAUGAGGUCCCUCGACAUGUUCACCAUGGGGGAGCUGGUUGCAGUCAUGAUCCUGGUGCUGCAGCUCAUCCUGGUCGCUGUCGUGCUGCGGGACAAGCGUCUCUGGAGGAUCCUGCAGAACUGGAGGUGUCCAAGGGCAGCGAGAGCCCAGCCGGAGGAGCAGAGCAGUGUGGACAGGGCGCAGGAAUCGGCAGACACGUCCCCUGGCAGCUCCCAACGAAGUUCCAUGAGCUACAGGAAGCAUUUCCCAAGGUUCAUCCAAAGCUCCCAGGACUCUCCAGCGCUCAUUGAGGAGCAGCACAGUGAGCUGAAGGCACAGCUGGCCCAGCAGCAGUACAGAGGAGGGGACUGCAGGGUGCUCCAGACCGAGGUGCCAGUGGAGCUGCCGGGACUGCUGGGGGGCAGAGAGUCUCCCCAGUGCCUGGCAGUGGAGCUGCCAGGGCCGGACAUGAAUGAGGGGACAGAAGAAGCCAAACGUAAGAACACAGGACAGUGCAGCAGGGACUACAUGACACUGCAACGCAGAAGAUCCGUGCUGAUGGCCAGGCUGCUCCCUAGACUAGUGGUCAUUGUAAAUCCCACGGUGUUGGAAAGCAGCAGCAGCAGCAGCAGCAGCAGCUCCAUGGAGGUGCAAUACAGCAGCACCACCACUGGAUGGUUCCUGGGGAAGCUCCGUGCCUGGCUCCAGAGAUACCUGGAAGCCUCGCAGACACGUUUUGCUCAGCGCCGCCGGGGCUUCUGCGUCCGUCUGAGGUCCCAGUGGUGGUGGCGGCGCUGGACCCAGAGGAGAAAAGGGCGUAGUAAUCAUGAGUAGUCAGGGAGGGGUGGAGGAAUGGGGUGCUUCAGGAUCCACCUGGACAGCCCAAUCCCUGUCCCUCUCCAGAUCCCCCUGUAGAGCCCUCCUGUCCUGUAGCAGACACACACUCUCACCCAACCUGUCCUCUGCAAACUGACUGAGGGUCCCCUCCUCUUCCCCACCCACCAAUGCUGUAGCACCAUCAUAGAAAAUCACUAGUUUUGUCAAACAUGAUUUUGCCUUUAUAAAGCCACGUUGGCUGUUUCCAAUCAUCUCUUUGUUUUCCAUAUGCCUUAUCAUAGUUUUCAAGAGAAUCUGCUCCAUGAUCUUGCUUGGUGCAGAGGUAACACUGACUGGUCUGUUGUUCCCUGGGUCUUCUGCUUUCCCCUUUUUAAAAUGGGAGUUAUAUUUCCCUUUUUCAAGUCAUCAGGGACUUCAUGUAACUGCCACAAUUUUUCAGAAAUGAUGGAUAGUAGCUUAGCAACUUUGUCUGCCAAUUCCCUCAGGACCUAUGGAUGGAUUUUGUUUGGUCCCAUGGACUUGUUUACAUUCAGGUUCCUUAGAUGGUCUCAAACCUUAUCCUCUCCUACAGGGGGCUCAGGGUCCUCAUUCUCUCAACCCCUGCAUUUGCCUUUCCUGACUUGGGCAGUGUGGCUGCAGCACUUGGUGUUGAAGACUGAGGCAUAGAAGUUGUUGAGAACCUCAGCCUUCUCUUUGUCCAGGGUAGCCAGGUCUCUUGUUUCCUUCUGGUAAGGACCCAUAUUAUCCCUUGUCUUGCUUGCAACAUAUCUAUAGAAUCCCUUCCUGUUAUCCUUAAUAUCCUUGGCCAGACUCAAUUCUAAUGGGCCUUGGCUUCCCUAACCUCGUCCCUAGCUUCUCUUACAGUUUCCCUGUAUUCCUCCCAAGCCACCAGUCCUCAUUUCCACUUCCUGAAAGCUGCUUCUUUUGCUCUGAGUUUGCUCAGCAACUCCUUAUCCAUCCAU